rnacentral:rRNA from 1 species
CCUACGGGCGGCAGCAGUGGGGAAUAUUGGACAAUGGGGGCAACCCUGAUCCAGCCAUGCCGCGUGUGUGAAGAAGGCCCUCGGGUUGUAAAGCACUUUCAGUGAGGAAGAACGCCUGGUGGUUAAUACCCAUCAGGAAAGACAUCACUCACAGAAGAAGCACCGGCUAACUCCGUGCCAGCAGCCGCGGUAAUACGGAGGGUGCGAGCGUUAAUCGGAAUUACUGGGCGUAAAGCGCGCGUAGGUGGCUUGAUAAGCCGGUUGUGAAAGCCCCGGGCUCAACCUGGGAACGGCAUCCGGGACUGUCCAGCUAGAGUGCCGGAGAGGAAGGUAGAAUUCACGGUGUAGCGGGGAACGGCGUAGCGAUCGGGAGGAAUACCAGUGGCGAAGGCGGCCUUCUGGACUGACACUGACACUGAGGUGCUAAAGCGUGGUUAGCAGACAGAAUUAGAGACCCUUGUAGUC